rnacentral:lncRNA from 1 species
UUAUGGGCAUGCUGCACAGUCUAUGUCUAGGGAUUGCACACAUACACUGUAGAAAUAAGAACAAUUGAAUGAAACAGUAAAUUAAUUCAGAUCUAUGCUUCAACCAUUAUAGAAAAAUAAAGGUUUCAUCAUAUAAUCCCAACCCUAUGAGAUUUAGCUCAUGGGUUGGAAAAUAAGCUUUAAAACCAAAAUAACAUCCAACAUUAUUUUAUCAUUCAAUUCACGGAAGAAUAAAGUAAUAAAAAUGGAAGACUUCAGGAAGACAACUUUCACAUGUCUAGUUCAUACUCCCGC